GCGCACAAGCCACCUAUCGCACGCACAGGCCUACUAUGCACAGGCCUCAGGCGCACAGGGGCCUAUCCACUCAGGCCUAGUGCAUGGACGGCGUGCACACAGUGUUCGACACCUGUUUGCGUGCAAGGUGAUGCAUAGAUGGGCUACCUACACGUCGCACGCAGGGUUUGACCCCAUGCCGCGCACGCGGAUGUGAUGUGUGCGUUGCGCGCACAUCCUGCGCUUGCUCUACGUUCG
rnacentral:lncRNA from 1 species